rnacentral:rRNA from 1 species
AUUGAACGCUGGCGGCAUGCUUUACACAUGCAAGUCGAACGGUAACAGGCCGCAAGGUGCUGACGAGUGGCGAACGGGUGAGUAAUGCAUCGGAACGUGCCCAGUCGUGGGGGAUAACGCAGCGAAAGCUGCGCUAAUACCGCAUACGAUCUCUGGAUGAAAGCGGGGGACCGAAAGGCCUCGCGCGAUUGGAGCGGCCGAUGUCAGAUUAGGUAGUUGGUGGGGUAAAGGCUCACCAAGCCAACGAUCUGUAGCUGGUCUGAGAGGACGACCAGCCACACUGGGACUGAGACACGGCCCAGACUCCUACGGGAGUCAGCAGUGGGGAAUUUUGGACAAUGGGCGCAAGCCUGAUCCAGCAAUGCCGCGUGCAGGAAGAAGGCCUUCGGGUUGUAAACUGCUUUUGUACGGAACGAAACGGUCCUGGUUAAUACCUGGGGCUAAUGACGGUACCGUAAGAAUAAGCACCGGCUAACUACGUGCCAGCCGCCGCUGUAAAAC